GAGCUGCAUGACAUUUCUUUUCCUAAUUAUCACACAAACUCAACUGUAGUGAAAAUUUUGAAUAUAUAUGAAGAAUGUUUUUUUUGUAAUUUUUGACUCAUUUACCAAACCUACCAAAAGUAUUCAAAUCUUUUUGUGGCAGGUGCAUUAGGCUUAAAACAGACUAAAAUUUUGUUUUAUAUAGAUAGCUAUAGAUAUUUCUCUCUUUUUUUUGAGACAGGAUUUCAUUAUGCAGUGCAGGCUGGCCUUGAACUCAUUUUGUAUUAUAGGCUGGACUCAAACUUUUAAUAAGCCUACUGCCUCAGCAUCCUGAGUGCUAGGAUUAUAGCUGUGCACCACCAUGCCCAGCAUAAGAGUUGAUUUGUUUACUUAAUAUAGUAAAUUCCCUAAAACCUUCCUGAAUGUUAUAAAAAAAUUUUGUUUUGGAUGUUGCUGGGAAUUUAGCCCAGAGCCUUGCACAUAUUAGGUAAGUGCCCUCUAUUGAGCUAUAUCCCCAGACUUACCAUUUCUCAUUGAAGUUUGCUAAUUUAAUAGGGUAUAGGGGCACAUGACAGUAGUACUAGCUAUUUGGGAGGCUGAGAUGUGGGAUUUUGAGUUUCAGGUUAAUCUGGGUAACACCAAUAAACUGAAAACACAUAUGCUUAUAUACCCUUCACUACAUAGUCUCUUUGGUUUAAAUGUAAAAUAAUUCAGCCAGAUGUGGAUGUCUGACCUGGGAUUAGAGAGGGAAAUCUUUUCAGAAACCUAUCUGUGGAAGAUAAUAUAUCUCUCAUGAUGAGUAUGAAUUGCAAUGUUGUUUACUCUGCUUGGUGUGAAGUCCAGAUUCUUUGUAUUAGUAUAAGAUCUGUGUCAUAUUCAGAAAAAAAUAUAAGAGAGAGUAAUCUUUUAUGCUCAGCCAAGUCUUAGUCACUUUUCUUGUCACAGAGACACAAUACCCAGCACUCAUAACUUAAGGAAGGAGAGGUUAAUUUUGACUUAUGGUUCAGUCCAUAGUCCACUGGCUAAAGGUAGAAUAGGAUGGCAGAGUGGCAUAAUGAAGGAAAGUUGUUCAUGUCAGGGUGGUAAGAAAGCAGGGAAAGAAAGAAGGGAGGAGCUGGAAAGGGAUAUGUACCCUUCCAUGUAAUGCCUUCAGUGAGUCCACCUCAUCUGACCAGGCCUGACCUCCCAACAGCAAGUCAACUAUAGUGCCCCCAUAAUUCAGUCACCUUCCCAAAGCCCUGCUAUAGAGCAUGAGGCCUUUGGAGGACAUUUUUGUUUUGUCUCGUUAAUUUAUUUUUGGCUUUUUGAGGUAGGGUUUUGUUCUGCAGUUCAGGCUAGCCUUGAACUCACUGUGAUGCCUAGGUUGGCUCAACCUCUCAGUGUUCCCCUGUCUCAGCCUCUCAAUAUUGGGAUUAUAGGUGUGCACCACCAUGCUUGGCUGGAGGAUAUUCUUGAUCUAAACCAUAGCACAGGGUAUGGAAUGCUGUUUUAGUUUCUUUUUAUUAUUGCUGAGUCAAAAUACUCAACAUUGAAAGUUAAAGGAAAGAUUUAUUUAGCUCACAAUUUGUAAUGGUUUUAGUUCACAGUUGGCUGGCUUCAAUGCAGGGUGACAUGGUAGAAAGGCAUUGCAGAGGAGAAACUGUUAAUAGUGAGCAGUAGGCAGCAAAGUAGUGAAAAACCAAAGCCGGAAGCAACAAGUGAAGGCGGCAGCUCUCUUUUUUGUCCCUUUAAUCCACGCUACACACCCUUAGGGCAGGUAGCCCUUAUACCCAGGUGGGCCUUCCCAUUUUCCAUGCCCAGAACUAUGCCUAACCAAUCAGUGGACUAAUGUAGUAACCAUACACCCUUAAUCCCAGUAUCACACACUUUAGAUCCAGAGUGUGUGGAAAAGCCCCACCUGUGCCUGCAUGAAGCUUUGGCACAUAAGCCAUAAUGUUGUCAUCAGCUUUAAGGGUAAAAACAAAGAUCAUUUUUUAUUACCUUUUUGAUGUAUAAUUGACAUAAUUAAUUACAUGUCUUUUUUUGUGUGUGUGUGUGUGUUUGUGUUUGUGUGGCACUGGAAUUAAACUCAAGGUCUUUGCAUCAAGCUAUAUUCCUGGCCCUUUUUGAAGGUUUUUUUUGGUACUGGGGAUCCAACUUACUACCAUGUGCUUGCAAGGCAGGCACUUAUGCCACUGAGCUAAAUUCCCAGCCCUGCUUUUUGAAUUUUUAAAAUUUCUAAACAGUCUUGCUGAGUUGCCCAAGUGUUGCUCAAAUUUUGAAUCCUCCUGUUUCAGCCAUCUACAGUAUUGGAAUUACAGGUGUGCAAAACCAUACCUAACUUCAAAUACAUACACAUAUAAUUUGAUAAAUUUCAACAUGUGUACCUAUGAAACUGUCACCAUAAUCAAGAAAAUGAACACCUGUGUCAUUGCUUUCUCCCUCCCUAUGUAGCCACUGUAGAUUAUAUUUUUGAGAAUUUAGAGAAAUAGAAUCAUUCAGUAUGUACUCUGUUUGUAUAAAUUAUUGCAAUUAGCAUAAUUAUUUUGAGAGUUGUCAUAGGAUGCAUCAGUAGUUUACUUCUUUGUUGUUGUGCAUCAGUAUUUUGUCAAGCAGACAUGUAGUGUUUAUCCCCUAACCUAUUGGGUGUGCAGUGGUGUAAAUACUUUAAUGUAAGGCUUUGCAUUGGUGGAUACUUUUACUUAUAUUGGGCAAAUACCUAGAAGUUGAAAGGUUCUGUUGUAGGUGUUAUGUUCCACUACCAGUUUUGCAAAGAGCCUGUAUUUUUCCACAUUGCCACCAAAGUAUAUGAAGUUUCUUGUUCCUCUGUAUCCUUGCCAACACUUGUAUGGGCACUCCUUUUAAUUUUAGCCAUUCUAGUAGAUACUGGUAUGUGCUUUUUAUUGGUGUUUCCUUAAUAGUGUUAAGCAUCUUGUUAUAUGUUUAUUUGCUACUUGUGUAUCUUUUUUUUGUUUUAUUCUUUCGAAGAAGGGUUUCACUAUGCAAUUCAGGUUGACCUUGAACUUUGUAGACCAGAAUGGCCUCAAACUUACAUCGUUUUUUAAAAAGUUAGUUUGCUUUCUUACUGUGUUUUGAGAGUUUUUUUAAAAUAUAUUUGAGAUACAUAUCCUUUAUUAGAUAAAAAAUUUUUUAAGUCUUGGUUUUCGAGUUGAUUGGCUAAUAAUAUUCUCUUAAAAGUAUCUUUUCAGCAAGGUGUGGUAGCACAUACCUCUAAUUCCAGCUCUCUGGGAGGCUGAGGCAGGAGAAUGGCAGGUUGGAACUCAGCUGGGCAAUUUAGUGACAUAGUAAGACACUGUCUCAAAAUAAAAACAGAUAGAUAGAUAGAUAAGGCUGGGAAUGUAGUUUAGUUUGAAUGCCCUGGGUUUAACGCCCAGAACCACUAUAGACAAACCAACAAAAGCACUCCCCCCCGCCCCCACCAAAAAAAAAAAACCCUAGAAAUGUAUUUUGUUUGUUUGUUAAAGAGGUGGAGAUCUUGCUAUAUUGCCCAGUCUGUCUUGAAAUUCCUGGGCUAAAGUGAUUUUGCCUCAGCCUCCCAAGUAGCAGUUACUAUAGGCACUACACUCAGCCUAAGCACUUUUUUAGUUUUAUGUUUUACAUAUAGCUCUGUGAUCCAUUUUGAGUUAAUUUUGUAUAUGGUGCAAAAUACAAGUUGAAGUUCAUUUUUGAAUAUGUACAUUUGAUUGUUUCUGUGUCAUUUGUUAAAAUGACUAUUCUUUCUCUACUUAUUCUUGUAACAGGUAUCAGUUGUCUAUAAAUAGAUGAGCUUGUUUCUAGACUCUGUAUUUUUAUAUUAAAAGUCUUGAAAUCUGGUAAUAUUAAUCUUCUAACUUUGUAUUGGCUAUAUUUUGGUGCUUGACAUUCUCUUUAUAAGUUUUUUCUUUUUAGUUUUUUUUUUUGUACUGGGGAUCGAACUCACUACCUCGCGCUUGCAAGGCAGGCGCUUAUGCCGCUGAGCUAAAUCCUUGGCAUUCUCAUGAAUCGAAUUUAUGAUGUUUUGCUUGUCAGGCAAGUACUUAACGUCGCUCAGCUAAAUCCUCAGCCCCUAUAGUUUUCCAUUUUUUUAAUGUAUUUGUGUUUGUAUGUGGGGGGGGGGCAUGUACUAAUGAUCAAACCAAAGGCCUUGUGCCUGCUAAGCAAGCCCUCUACCACUAAGAUACACUCCCAAAUCUUGUUUUUCUUUAUCUUUAAAAUUUGUUGUUAGGUUUUACAUAGUUUUAACAAAAUAUAAUCUAUCUUUGCCUUUUAGUUGAUAUAUUGGAUAAAGUUUUAUAAAUGGUCACAUUUGCAUUUAUCUCAAGCUACAUGUUGGUUAUAUUUUUGCUUCACAUGUUUUGCAGGACUACCACCCAGUUCCUUCCUAGGUAAACUAGACUUAAAGCAAAUGGAAAAGAGAUACAGGGGGGCAUAGUGAUGCCAUGUCUAUAAUCCCAGCACUUGAGAGGCCAAGGCAGGAGAGUGCUAAGUUCAAAGCCAGCCUGAACUACAGUGAGACCUUGUUAAAAGAGAGAGAGACAAUUAAAAUAGCUUAAAAAAUCUGUUAGGGAAUGAUAUAUGUAACUUCUGCUUUACAUUUUAUUGACUAAAGUAAAUCAGAUGACCAAACCUUUUAUUAGUGAGGCAAGAUAGUACCAAGGGGAAAAAAUUAUUAUUUCAACCCCACCCCCACCCUCACCCCUUGAGACAGGAUCUGACUAGCCUUGAAGUCAAAAGUAAUCUAUUCCUGCUUUAGGCUUCUAAGUACUGGGAUUCUAGGCUUGUGCCACAAUACCCAGCAGAAUUCACCCUUCAAAGAGUACAAUUUAGUCAUUGUUAGUAUAUUCACAAAGUUUACAAUCAUUAGGACUAGUCCAAUUUGAGAACAUUUUUCCGAAAAGAAACUGUUCCCAUUUGGGGAUGGCGAUAUGUAAUGUAUGUACUGUUGUUCACCCCGAUUGUCAUGUUUAGAAAUUUUAUUUUAUUUUUUUCUUUGGAAUAAAAUGGAUUUGAGAAAGAAAGAAAGAAUGAACGAAAGAAAGAGCGGUCCCAUUAGCCUGUAUUUCAUCCUUCCAGUCACUGAUUCACUUUCUGUUUCUAUGGAUUAUGAGCAUUUCAGUCAUAUAAUAGGUGGUCUAUUAUGACAGGCCUCUUUCACCUACCUUAAUGUUUUUAAGAUUUUUUGUAGAAAAUAAAUUAUUUGUGUUUAAUAUGACUGUUAGACUAUAUUUAAGUGUUUUCUUGUUCUUUAAUCUGUUCUUCCUUCAACUAUACUGCUUUCUUAUUCCUUAAUUAAAUAUUUUUUAAAAAUAAAGAUUUUUUUUUUUGGUCUUUUUCCUUUUUUUUGGUACCGGGGAUUGAACUCACGACUGCCUGCUUGCAAGGCAGGUGCUUAUGCCACUGAGCUAAACCUCCAGCCCCCUGUUCUGAUUUUUUUUGAGACAGGAUCUUGCUAGCUUGUAGUUCAGGCUGGCCCUGAAUUCACUAUGUAGUCUGGGCUGUCCUUGAACUUGCAGUGAUCCAUCCUCCUGCCUCAACCUCCUAAGUGCUGGGACUGCAGGUAUGUACCACCAUAUCUGGCUCUUAAUUAAAUAUUUUUAUAAUUAUAUUUUAUCUUCUUUGUUGAUUUUUCUGAGCUAUAACUGGUACACUAGUGAUUGCAUUAAGGCUUAUAGCAUUCAACUUUAACUAAUACUAUUUUGCAUGUAGUAAAGAACCUUAGAAUGGUACACUUCUAUUUUUCCUUCCCAAUCUUCAUUCUAGUUUUGUCAUCUAUUUUAAUAUAUAUAUAUAUAUAUAUAUAUAUAUAUAUAUAUAUAUAAUAAACUCUGUAUUGUAUUUGCUUCAACAAUUAUCUUUUUAAAUUAUAUUGAAACAAAAAAAAAGCCAGGUAUAAGUCAGGCAUGGUGAUAUAUGCCUAUAAUCUCGGCACUGGGAGCCUGAGGCAGAAAGAUACCCUUGAGUUUUGAGAUGAGAUAAGCCUCAACUGCAUAGUGAGACCCUGUCUCAAAAAACUAAAAAAAAUUUAAAAAUCCACCAAAAAUAAACAGACAGAACCCCCCAAAACAAAGAAA